rnacentral:lncRNA from 1 species
CCUGAAUUUGGCUGCGUACGAGUGUUUGCGAAUACGUAGAAUUUGGUCGGAAUGAGUGUGAGGUAUUGGAAUUUAAUAAAUAGAUGCUACCAUGACGGAAAGUAGGAAUAAAGGAAGGGAGGGAGGAUGCCGAAAAUAGAUGGAGGUGCAUCGUUAGAAAAGGAAAACUGAGUGUCCGAAUCACUUGCGUCUGGACUUGCAUUGAAUACGCCGUUACUCUUCCUGUGCCAAACGGGACUGAAACAUCACAAUUGACCGCGCAUUAAACAUCACAUCUGGAGUAUAAUGGAUAUGGAACGUCAAAUAGAGCUGAUUGAUGGGAUUGGUCAGCCACUCUUGGAGAGCCUUCUGCAGUCUUCUGACGUGAAGUGGCUUGCUGGCCAUCCCCACAAGUGCCAUAAUUUCUAGAAAUUCUUCUUCUCCAGCAUCGCACAAUUGCUGGACGUCAUCACCUCCUGUGCAAUGUGUCGUAGUAUCCAAGGAGAGAAGCACGCUGCAUGACGCGGUACAACUGAAGUUCGGCCUCGUUCUGCGGCACGGAAGUCUGCACGACUGGAAUAGAAUAACAAUGACGAGAUGUGUGAAUCGAACCUUAUUUUAGAUAUGUCGUCGUUUGAAGCGAGAAGAUCAAAUAACUCCUCAUUAUAUAAUUCAAGAAAACUGACGCGUACUGAAUAUUCCUGCACAUCCAAUGUGUGCAGUUCAUCAAAUAAAUGACUCAACGAGCGAGUACAAAGAUGGGUCAUUGCUUACACCUUCCAUGGUAAAAGUUUUACCUGUACCAGUUUGUCCAUAAGCAAAAACUGUACAGUUAUAGCCUGCUAAAACUUCUUGCACUAAAGGGCUGACCACCGCUUGAUAAAUACUGACCUGUGAAACUUUUGAAAUACAACCAAAUGUUUGAGUGCUACUCAGCUGGGAACCGCGCUGCAUGUUUUCACCAUGCCGAGGAAUCUGUAUACCAAGCACUGACCUCCCUGAAGUCAAUAAAAGAGGGAACUACAAGGUUCUCCGGGUCAAACCAUUGCGACCAUUAAUUGCAAAUUACUUAUUACAGGAUACAUCUAGAAACCUUUGUGAACCUUUUUUUUUUUGCCUAAUAGACCUCACUAUUUGUAUGACUAAAUAAUAUAAAUUCCUUAUUCAGAAAACGAAUCCCAAUCACAACAAGUACAAGUACAACAAAUAUAAGAACACAGUCUUACCUGUUUGGACAAAGGUCCAAAAACUUUAUCAAACGUGAAUUUCUUAGAAAGCUUGU